GUAGUUUUAAUUUUGAGUUUGCGUGAAGUGAGCACAUGUCGUUUGCCAAAGUUGGAAACUACAGCUCCUAGUAUACUAUGGUCUCUGGAUCACGUGAUUGAUCAGCUGAGAAAUACAUGGGUAGAUGUAAACAAACAUACUAAACUCAUGAUUUUAGUCUGCUGCAAUGAAUAUAUGUCAGUGGGUUGGCUUUAUUCAAUACGCCCAACUUUGUAAGGUUUGUAUAAUACACACAAGGCUUAGAAUGAAGAGAUAUGAAGCGAGGAGGAUGAUCCUUCCGAUCUAGUACAUCUACUUCAACUGUCGUCAAAACCGUUGCGAAGGAGGGUAGCUAUGGUAACCAACAUUCUGAAUCCACGACAGAGGUCUGUCCUCACCAACCAAUUAUCAAGGUAGACUGGUAGGCCUUGGCAACAAUGUCGGCUCCUCAACAGCAGGAACAAAGCAGAGCCCUGUGUGCAAACCCUGGGAAUCCUGUUUUCUCAUGUAUGAUGACCCCAGUGGUUAAAAACAGUUCGGCUGUGCCAUGGGCAAAGCCUCAAAGCCCCUUCUACAAGACCACCUCAAGUGACUAUGGCGUUAGUCCUCCAACAUUUGAAUCAUCACCCUGUUCCUACCACCCACUUUCACAAAGAUUCACAGAAGACCUUGGGAACUGUGGGAUGUUACGUGACAACUCCUUCAAUACAAGUCUUGAUCGAAGCAGGGUAUAUGACUGCCCUAAUUUGCAAAACACUAUCUGAUUGACAUGGUAUAACAUUGUCUUGGUGUUGAUUAAACUACCUGGUGGACCUUCACUCCAUUGACAAUGAUUGGUAUCCUGAAAAUGCAUAAUAGCUGUACAUUUAAGUUCUACAAUAUGCAUGUUGUAUCAUUCUACUUACAAAGUAAAGCAUAUUUUUACUUGCACUUAUGUUAUUUGUGACAUACAGAAACACACUAAUAGCUGGAGCAAGUUACAAUGUUUAACUUUAUUGUAUCACUAAACACAUUAGGCUACACUGACCAGGUGGGCUAUCAGCAUUCAUUGUAGUGUUCCUCAUUGCAAAAAUAUAUGAAUGUAUUAAAAAAUAUAUAUAUAUUCA